CCUACGGGAGGCAGCAGUGAGGAAUAUUGGUCAAUGGACGAGAGUCUGAACCAGCCAAGUAGCGUGAAGGAUGACUGCCCUAUGGGUUGUAAACUUCUUUUAUAUGGGAAUAAAAUGUUCCACGUGUGGGAUUUUGUAUGUACCAUAUGAAUACGGAUCGGCUAACUCCGUGCCAGCAGCAGCGGUAAUACGGAGGAUCCGAGCGUUAUCCGGAUUUAUUUGGUUUAAAGGGAGCGUAGGUGGAUUGUUAAGUCAGUUGUGAAAGUUUGCGGCUCAACCGUAAAAUUGCAGUUGAAACUGGCAGUCUUGAGUACAGUAGAGGUGGGCGGAAUUCGUGGUGUAGCGGUGAAAUGCUUAGAUAUCACGAAGAACUCCGAUUGCGAAGGCAGCUCACUGGACUGCAACUGACACUGAGGCUCGAAAGUGUGGGUAUCAAACAGGAUUAGAUACCCUUGUAGUC
rnacentral:rRNA from 1 species